rnacentral:rRNA from 1 species
CGGAGGGGAAAGGGGACCGGCUUACUCUGUGCAAGCAGCGCGUAUACCAGAGGUCCCAAGCGUUGUUUCGGAAUUCACUGGGCGUAAAGGGUGCGUAGGUGGUGGAGGUAAGUCGGAUGUGAAAGCUCGGAGCUCACUCCGAAAUGGCAUUGGGAAACUACCUGGCUCGAGGGUUGGAGGGGGGACUGGAAUACUUGGUGUAGCAGCGAAAUGCGUAGAUAUCAAGUGGAACACCAGCGGCGAAGGCGAGUCCCUGGACAACUCCUGACACUGAGGCACGAAAGCUAGGGGAGCAAACAGGAUUAGAUACCCUGGUAGUCCUAGCCGUAAACGGUGCUUGCUUGCUGUAAAAGGAAUCGACCCCUUUUGUGGCGGAGCCAACGCGUUAAGCAAGCCGCCUGGGAAGUACGGUCACAAGAUUAAAACUCAAAGAAAUUGACGGGGGCCUGCACAAGCGGUGGAGUAUGUGGCUCAAUUCGAUGCAACGCGAAGAACCUUACCUGGCCUUGACAUGCAAGUAGUAGAAGGGUGAAAGCCUAACGAGGUAGCAAUACCAGCUUGCACAGGUGCUGCAUGGCUGUCGUCAGCUCGUGUCGUGAGAUGUUGGGUUAAGUCCCGCAACGAGCGCAACCCCUGUGUCCUGUUGCUACCCGGUCGCGAGAUCGGAGCACUCUGGACAGACUGCCUCGCUUAAACGAGGAGGAAGGUGGGGAUGACGUCAAGUCAGUAUGGCCCUUACGGCCAGGGCUGCACACGUACUACAAUGCCCGGCACAAAGGGAAGCGAGACCGUCAGGUGGAGCAAAUCCCCUAGAACCGGGCCCAGUUCAGAUUGUCGUCUGCAACUCGACGGCAUGAAGCUGGAAUCGCUAGUAAUGGCGCAUCAGCUACGGCGCCGUGAAUACGUUCCCAAGCCUUGCACUCACCCCCGUC